rnacentral:tRNA from 1 species
GCGCCCGUAGCUCAAUGGAUAGAGCACUUGGCUUCGAACCAAGGGGUUGGGAGUUCGAAUCUCUCCGGGCGUA